rnacentral:rRNA from 1 species
CCUACGGGAGGCUGCAGUGGGGAAUAUUGGACAAUGGGCGCAAGCCUGAUCCAGCCAUGCCGCGUGAAUGAUGAAGGCCUUAGGGUUGUAAAAUUCUUUCACCGGGGACGAUAAUGACGGUACCCGGAGAAGAAGCCCCGGCUAACUUCGUGCCAGCAGCCGCGGUAAUACGAAGGGGGCUAGCGUUGUUCGGAAUUACUGGGCGUAAAGCGCACGUAGGCGGAUCGAUUAGUUGGUGGUGAAAGCCCAGGGCUCAACCUUGGAACUGCCAUCAAUACUGUCGAUCUGGAGCAUAGUAGAGGUUAGUGGAAUUCCAAGUGUAGAGGUGAAAUUCGUAGAUAUUUGGAGGAACACCAGUGGCGAAGGCGACUGACUGGGCUAUAGCUGACGCUGAGGUGCGAAAGCGUGGGGAGCAAACAGGAUUAGAUACCCUUGUAGUC